UAAUACGUAGGGGGCAAGCGUUGUCCGGAUUUAUUGGGCGUAAAGAGCGUGUAGGCGGCUUGGUAGGUCCGCUGUGAAAACUCGAGGUUCAACCUCGAGAUGUCGGCGGAAACCACUUGGCUAGAGUCCGGAAGAGGAGAGUGGAAUUCCUGGUGUAGCGGUGAAAUGCGCAGAUAUCAGGAAGAACACCUAUGGCGAAGGC
rnacentral:rRNA from 1 species